GAUGAACGCUGGCGGCGUGCUUAACACAUGCAAGUCGAACGGUGAAGCAGGAGCUUGCUCUUGUGGAUCAGUGGCGAACGGGUGAGUAACACGUGAGCAACCUGCCCCUGACUCUGGGAUAAGCGCUGGAAACGGCGUCUAAUACUGGAUAUGUGAUGUGACCGCAUGGUCUGCAUCUGGAAAGAAUUUCGGUUGGGGAUGGGCUCGCGGCCUAUCAGCUUGUUGGUGAGGUAAUGGCUCACCAAGGCGUCGACGGGUAGCCGGCCUGAGAGGGUGACCGGCCACACUGGGACUGAGGCGCGGCCCAGACUCCUACGGGAGGCAGCAGUGGGGAACAGUGCACAAUGAGCGGAAGCCUGAUGCAGCAACGCCGCGUGAGGGAUGACGGCCUUCGGGUUGUAAACCUCUUUUAGCAGGGAAGAAGCGAAAGUGACGGUACCUGCAGAAAAAGCACCGGCUAACUACGUGCCAGCCGCCGCGGUAA
rnacentral:rRNA from 1 species